CCUACCCAUCCACCCGAUCCUUUCAUUUCCUCCUUCCAGCGUCGCCCGUUUUGUUUCCUCUCCCACCCCCUUCUUUCCUUCAAUGUAGUCAGGUCCUCUCCCACCCCCUUCUUUCCUUCAAUGUAGUCAGGUUCUUCCCUCUCUGCAGCAAGCAAGAGGAGCUCAAAGGUAACCUAUUUCUUAUUUCUUCCCUCUUCGCAGCAUCACGCGUUACCUUGCUAGGUGACGAACAAUCGCUUCGCCUAUGGCCGCACUCAGGGGGCCACAGCCUCGCCAAGCUAGUGGUUCGCUAACGGCCGGUUCUCACAUGAACUCAUGUGAGGGAGCCGAUGCCUCGCCAAGCAGUCGAUUCACAAACGGCCGCAUACGAGGGGUGGAUGCCUCGUUGGGUAGUGGCUUGUUGUGAGACUUCUGAAGAUAAACUCUUUGAUGAAAUGCUGAUGUUGGACCAGUCCGAUUUUGCUACCAAAGAAAUUCCUCCUUUGGGCAAGGUUCUUUCAAACAUCAUAAAUUUGACAAUUGAGGACAACGAUUUUGGUUCUUAUGGCUUAUUUAUCCAAGGCUUAGAUUGUAAACUCUAUACUUGUACUAAUGAUGUGAAGAGUUAUGAUGAUGUGGUGAAUGAAUUGAUUGUUUUGGGUGUAAAUUUUUUCUAUUCUAUAUAAUGGGUGAAUUGAAUGUUGUGGAUGUAAAUUUUUUCUAUUCUAUAUAAUGGGUGAAUUGGAA